GUGCUCAUUUCAGCAGCACAUACACUAAAAUUGAAACUAUACAGAGAAGAUUAGCAUGGCCCCUAUGCAAGGAUGACAUGCAAAUUCGUGAGGUGUUCCAUAUUUUU
rnacentral:snRNA from 1 species